rnacentral:rRNA from 1 species
GACGAACGCUGGCGGCGUGCCUAAUACAUGCAAGUUGAGCGCUGAAGGUUGGUACUUGUACCGACUGGAUGAGCAGCGAACGGGUGAGUAACGCGUGGGGAAUCUGCCUUUGAGCGGGGGACAACAUUUGGAAACGAAUGCUAAUACCGCAUAAAAACUUUAAACACAAGUUUUAAGUUUGAAAGAUGCAAUUGCAUCACUCAAAGAUGAUCCCGCGUUGUAUUAGCUAGGUGGUGAGGUAAAGGCUCACCAAGGCGAUGAUACAUAGCCGACAUGAGAGGGUGAUCGGCCACAUUGGGACUGAGACACGGCCCAAACUCCUACGGGAGGCAGCAGUAGGGAAUCUUCGGCAAUGGACGAAAGUCUGACCGAGCAACGCCGCGUGAGUGAAGAAGGUUUUCGGAUCGUAAAACUCUGUUGGUAGAGAAGAACGUUGGUGAGAGUGGAAAGCUCAUCAAGUGACGGUAACUACCCAGAAAGGGACGGCUAACUACGUGCCAGCCGCCGCAGUAAGAC